rnacentral:hammerhead_ribozyme from 1 species
GCAUUGCUGACGAGUCCCAAACAGGAUGAAACAGCUGUCCAGUAA